AACUCAGAUUCAUGUGUUUGCUGAUGCCUGUGUGCUCCCCCAUCCUCCUUGCACAGCUUCAUUUGUGAGGCAUUGCACAGGGAACUGCACUCAUACAAAGUGAUUGUUACAACUUCAGUGUUUGUGGGAUUUUCUUUUUCAUUGUCUGCACCAGGUGACCCAAGAUGUGAUAUUGGACACUAACC